GAUGAACGCUAGCUACAGGCUUAACACAUGCAAGUCGAGGGGUAACAAGAGAAAAGCUUGCUUUUCUUGUUGACGACCGGCGCACGGGUGAGUAACGCGUAUCCAACCUGCCUAUAACUAGGGAAUAACCUUGCGAAAGUAAGACUAAUACCCUAUGAUUUCCUUUGAUGACAUCAGAUUAGGAAUAAAGAUUUAUCGGUUAUAGAUGGGGAUGCGUCUGAUUAGCUUGUUGGCGGGGUAACGGCCCACCAAGGCAACGAUCAGUAGGGGUUCUGAGAGGAAGGUCCCCCACAUUGGAACUGAGACACGGUCCGAACUCCUACGGGAGGCAGCAGUGAGGAAUAUUGGUCAAUGGGCGGAAGCCUGAACCAGCCAAGUAGCGUGCAGGAUGACGGCCCUAUGGGUUGUAAACUGCUUUUAUACAGGAAUAAAGUUAGCCACGUGUGGUUAUUUGUAGGUACUGUAUGAAUAAGGACCGGCUAAUUCCGUGCCAGCAGCCGCGGUAA
rnacentral:rRNA from 1 species